CUACGGGUUGCAGCAGGCGCGAAACCUCCGCAAUGUGAGAAAUCGCGACGGGGGGAUCCCAAGUGCCAUUCUUAACGGGAUGGCUUUUCUUAAGUGUAAAAAGCUUUUGGAAUAAGAGCUGGGCAAGACCGGUGCCAACCGCCGCGGUAACACCGGCAGCUCUAGUGGUAGCUGUUUUUAUUGGGCCUAAAGCGUUCGUAGCCGGUUUGAUAAGUCUCUGGUGAAAUCCUGUAGCUUAACUGUGGGAAUUGCUGGUGAUACUGUUGAACUUGAGGUCGGGAGAGGUUAGCGGUACUCCCAGGGUAGAGGUGAAAUUCUGUAAUCCUGGGAGGACCACCUGUGGCGAAGGCGGCUAACUGGAACGAACCUGACGGUGAGGGACGAAAGCUAGGGGCGCGAACCGGAUUAGAUACCCCAGUAGUC
rnacentral:rRNA from 1 species